AUGGACGCAGGGAGAGGUUUUUCUUCCCAGAUCCAACCAACUUCUUCAACUAGAUCAGCAUUUUUCAUGGUUUAUGACUGGAUUAUAGCAGGAAAUAGGCUUUUUGGAUCUACAUUUUGUAACAUUACUGGCUGUGCUUUUGCAUUUGAGCUUCCUUGGAGAUUUUUAAAUUCCUAUUACUUGCUGCGAAUAGUUCAUGUACUAUUUUUUUUAAUAUUUGGUAUGCCUAAACUUCUCUUUAUAGACUCAAUCUUCUUGAACUUUAUGCUAUUUCUUAUUUGA